GAUGAACGCUGGCGGCGUGCCUAAUACAUGCAAGUCGAGCGAACAGAUGAGGAGCUUGCUCCUCUGACGUUAGCGGCGGACGGGUGAGUAACACGUGGAUAACCUACCUAUAAGACUGGUAUAACUUCGGGAAACCGGAGCUAAUACCGGAUAAUAUAUUGAACCGCAUGGUUCAAUAGUGAAAGACGGUUUUGCUGUCACGUAUAGAUGGAUCCGCGCCGCAUUAGCUAGUUGGUAAGGUAACGGCUUACCAAGGCAACGAUGCGUAGCCGACCUGAGAGAGUGGUCGGCCACACUGGAACUGAGCCACGGUCCAGGCUCCUAAGGGACGCAGCAGUAGGGAAUCUUCCGCAAUGGGCGAAAGCCUGACGGAGCAACGCCGCGUGAGAGAUGACAGUCUUCGGAUCGUAAAACUCUGUUAUUAGGGAAGAACCAAUGUGUAAGUAACUAUGCCCGUCUUGACGGUACCUAAUCAGAAAGCCACGGCUAACUACGUG
rnacentral:rRNA from 1 species